AACGAACGCUGGCGGCAGGCUUAACACAUGCAAGUCGAGCGCCCCGCAAGGGGAGCGGCAGACGGGUGAGUAACGCGUGGGAAUCUACCCAUCUCUACGGAAUAACGCAUAGAAACGUGUGCUAAUACCGUAUACGUCCUUCGGGAGAAAGAUUUAUCGGAGAUGGAUGAGCCCGCGUUGGAUUAGCUAGUUGGUGGGGUAAAGGCCUACCAAGGCGACGAUCCAUAGCUGGUCUGAGAGGAUGAUCAGCCGCACUGGGACUGAGACACGGCCCAGACUCCUACGGGAGGCAGCAGUGGGGAAUAUUGGACAAUGGGCGCAAGCCUGAUCCAGCCAUGCCGCGUGAGUGAUGAAGGCCCUAGGGUUGUAAAGCUCUUUCACCGGUGAAGAUAAUGACGGUAACCGGAGAAGAAGCCCCGGCUAACUUCGUGCCAGCAGCCGCCGUAACAC
rnacentral:rRNA from 1 species